GAUGAAGAACGCAGCAAAAUGCGAUAAGUAAUGUGAAUUGCAGAAUUCAGUGAAUCAUCGAAUCUUUGAACGCACAUUGCGCCCGCUGGUAUUCCGGCGGGCAUGCCUGUUCGAGCGUCAUUUCAACCCUCAAGCCCCCGGGUUUGGUGUUGGGGAUCGGCUCUGCCCUUCUGGGCGGUGCCGCCCCCGAAAUACAUUGGCGGUCUCGCUGCAGCCUCCAUUGCGUAGUUGCUAACACCUCGCAACUGGAACGCGGCGCGGCCAUGCCGUAAAACCCCAACUUCUGAAUGUUGACCUCGGAUCAGGUAGGAAUACCCGCUGAACUUAAGCAUAUCAAUAAGCGGAGGA
rnacentral:misc_RNA from 1 species